CUUAUCUCCUGUGCGCUCACUCAACUGGAUGAGUCUCCUGCGUACCGGUCUUUGAUUUUUCUCUGGAAUGUGCUUGAGCUUGUACAGGCUGUGGCCUUAUCCAUCGCUCGAUUCAUCUCCCUGUCUUUAUCUUCUCCAAGCCGUGGAGCUUCUUCCCCAGCGCGCCCCUCUCCCUGGCUCUUCCCUGCGCGCCGCGGUGCUCCAGCUUGGCCCUGCUCAACUCGCCUCUACACAGCGUUCCUCUGCUCGGCCCUUUUUCCCCUGCACGCGAGCUCUGCGUCUUCCUGCGCGCCGGCUCCUGCUGAGCCGUGCGCCCUGGUGGCUAUCGCGACUGAUCUGUGGCCGCCACCUUCAGCUCGCCGGCAUUUCUUCUCUGCGCGCAGCUCACGCCCUGCUAGCCCCUGCUGCGGGUUGUCGAGCUCUCUGCGCAUGCUCAGCUCACUCUUUCUUUGUUUGCCGCGCGCACGAAUUUUAUCUGCUUGCCACAGCGUGUCGAGCUCCCGCACUAUCAUCGCUUCUAUCGCAAGCUCGUUAGCCACAGUUAUCUUGACCGCGUCAGCUCGCCAGACCUGCAACUCUAUAUACGCCACCCUUCCGUAUCAUUGUCGAGCCCGUCGAACCUCGUUCUUCUCUGCUCGCUCUCGUCGAACUCCAAAUCCCGGAUAUUAGAUAAAAAUAAGCGAGGCCCCUGUGUAUCGCUUAUCAAGUACUCGGUUGAAGACAUCAAUCGAAGAUCGUCGUCGUUUGGUGUGUCGUCAAGAAAUCCCAAGACGAAGCUAGCAGCGCGAUAUUUCCCAAGCACUCGACAAAUUGCUUGGAUCAGAAAAUCGCUACCGAUCUCGCGGAUUCGUGUCAGCUGUGGAAACGGUACGUUAAAUAAUCGCGCGAUGCGGAAGACAAGCCAAGUCGACCCCAAGCGCGGGCAAAUCCGCAGGAUAAUGCUGAUGGAUGAACCUACCCGAUCCAGUGCUAGGACAAGGAUGAUCGCCAAGUGGACGUCGUCUAACAACACUAACCUAGUGUUACUCAGG